CAUGGGCGAAGCCUGAUGCAGCGACGCCGCGUGAGCGAAGAAGUAUUUCNCNUAUGUAAAGCUCUAUCAGCAGGGNAAGAAAAUGACGGUACCUGACUAAGAAGCCCCGGCUAACUACGUGCCAGCAGCCGCGGUAAUACGUAGGGGGCAAGCGUUAUCCGGAAUUACUGGGUGUAAAGGGUGCGUAGGUGGUAUGGCAAGUCAGAAGUGAAAACCCAGGGCUUAACUCUGGGACUGCUUUUGAAACUGUCAGACUGGAGUGCAGGAGAGGUAAGCGGAAUUCCUAGUGUAGCGGUGAAAUGCGUAGAUAUUAGGAGGAACAUCAGUGGCGAAGGCGGCUUACUGGACUGAAACUGACACUGAGGCACGAAAGCGUGGGGAGCAAACAGGAUUAGAUACCCUGGUAGUCCAAGGGCGAAUUC
rnacentral:rRNA from 1 species